CGUAGGGUGCGAGCGUUGUCCGGAAUUAUUGGGCGUAAAGAGCUUGUAGGCGGUUUGUCGCGUCUGCUGUGAAAAUCCGGGGCUCAACCCCGGACUUGCAGUGGGUACGGGCAGACUAGAGUGUGGUAGGGGAGACUGGAAUUCCUGGUGUAGCGGUGAAAUGCGCAGAUAUCAGGAGGAACACCGAUGGCGAAGGCAGGUCUCUGGGCCACUACUGACGCUGAGAAGCGAAAGCAUGGGGAGCGAACAGGAUUAGAUACCCUGGUAGUCCAUGCCGUAAACGUUGGGAACUAGGUGUGGGUCUCAUUCCACGAGAUCCGUGCCGCAGCUAACGCAUUAAGUUCCCCGCCUGGGGAGUACGGCCGCAAGGCUA
rnacentral:rRNA from 1 species